AUACAUUACUAUUGCUGCACAUAUACUAAAAUUGGAUCGAUACAGAGAAGAUUAGCAUGGCCCCUGUGAAUGGAUGGCACGCAAAUCCGUGAUCCAAAUCCAAAUCCAUAUUUUU
ensembl:snRNA U6 U6 spliceosomal RNA